rnacentral:rRNA from 1 species
CAUGCAAGUCGAGGGGAAACGACAUCGAAAGCUUGCUUUUGAUGGGCGUCGACCGGCGCACGGGUGAGUAACGCGUAUCCAACCUGCCCAUCACUUGGGGAUAACCUUGCGAAAGUAAGACUAAUACCCAAUGAUAUCUCUAGAAGGCAUCUGAAAGAGAUUAAAGAUUUAUCGGUGAUGGAUGGGGAUGCGUCUGAUUAGCUUGUUGGCGGGGUAACGGCCCACCAAGGCGACGAUCAGUAGGGGUUCUGAGAGGAAGGUCCCCCACAUUGGAACUGAGACACGGUCCAAACUCCUACGGGAGGCAGCAGUGAGGAAUAUUGGUCAAUGGACGAGAGUCUGAACCAGCCAAGUAGCGUGCAGGAUGACGGCCCUAUGGGUUGUAAACUGCUUUUAUAAGGGAAUAAAGUGAGUCUCGUGAGACUUUUUGCAUGUACCUUAUGAAUAAGGACCGGCUAAUUCCGUGCCAGCAGCCGCGGUAAUACGGAAGGUCCGGGCGUUAUCCGGAUUUAUUGGGUUUAAAGGGAGCGUAGGCCGGAGAUUAAGCGUGUUGUGAAAUGUAGAUGCUCAACAUCUGCACUGCAGCGCGAACUGGUUUCCUUGAGUACGCACAAAGUGGGCGGAAUUCGUGGUGUAGCGGUGAAAUGCUUAGAUAUCACGAAGAACUCCGAUUGCGAAGGCAGCUCACUGGAGCGCAACUGACGCUGAAGCUCGAAAGUGCGGGUAUCGAACAGGAUUAGAUACCCUGGUAGUCCGCACGGUAAACGAUGGAUGCCCGCUGUUGGUCUGAAUAGGUCAGCGGCCAAGCGAAAGCAUUAAGCAUCCCACCUGGGGAGUACGCCGGCAACGGUGAAACUCAAAGGAAUUGACGGGGGCCCGCACAAGCGGAGGAACAUGUGGUUUAAUUCGAUGAUACGCGAGGAA